CAUGCAGGUGGUUUGGUUUAAGUUCAGAUGUGAAAGACCCGGGGCGUCAACCUCCGGAAUAGCAUUUGAAACUAGGCAGACUAGAGUACUGUAGAGGGGGGUAGGGAAGUUUCAGGUGUAGCGGUGAAAUAGCGUAGAGAUCUGAAGGAAUACCGGUGGCGAAGGCGGCCCCCUCGGACAGAUACUGACACUCAGAUGCGAAAGCGUGGGGAGCAAACAGGAUUAGAUACCCCUGGUAG
rnacentral:rRNA from 1 species